CCUAACAUCAUCAAAGUUAACGAUGAGGUUGGCAACUAUUUUCAGACGAAGAAGGGGCUUCGCCAAGGGGACCCCGCAUCACCCAUUUUGUUUAACAUUGUGGCUGACAUGCUAGCUACCCUUGUUGAGCGGGCUAAGGUGGCCGGUCAGGUUAGCAGCGUCAUUCCUCAUUUGGUAGAAGAGGGUUUAUCUAUCCUACAAUAUGCGGAUGACACAAUACUUUUCUUG
rnacentral:rRNA from 1 species